UACAGAGGGGGCAAGCGUUGUUCGGAAUUACUGGGCGUAAAGGGCGCGUAGGCGGCCUUCUAAGUCGAACGUGAAAUCCCCGGGCUCAACCCGGGAACUGCGUCCGAUACUGGAAGGCUUGAAUCCGGGAGAGGGAUGCGGAAUUCCAGGUGUAGCGGUGAAAUGCGUAGAGUAUCUGGAAGGAACACCGGUGGCGAAGGCGGCAUCCUGGAC
rnacentral:rRNA from 1 species